rnacentral:lncRNA from 1 species
UGCAUUUUCCAUCUGGUUUUUACUAAUUGCACAGGAAUUCUAGCCAUGCCCCCUUGCCCUUACCUCUUCACAGUCUGCAAACCAGACUGCUUCCCAAGUGCCAAAACUGGGGUCUUUUGUUUGCUGUUGAGACCUGCUUUGCCACCUGUAGGCCACAGAAUGAAUGCCCCUGAGAGCAGCUCUCAACUAGUAACUGACAAAAGUUGGUGGAUAAAUGCCCCAGCUCUCUCACCUUCCAAUGAGGGACUUCAGCCUACACCACACGGAACAGAAGAACUGCCCAGCUGAGCUCAGCCAACCAUAGAGUCAUGAGAAAUCAUCAUCAUUGUUCUCAGUCUCUGAGUUCUAGGACAGUUUGUUACUCAGCAAUAGGUGAUUUUGGAAGCCUUGUGAGAGAUGGUGCUGUUGCAAAAUGGAGGAAGACUGGAUCUCUGCAUCACCGCUUGGAGGCGAGCCCCUGCUAACUAGCUUACAGGAAUAAGAAACAAACUUGUGCUGUAUAAAGCUACCGAAGUUUCUGAUUUGUUUGUUAUUGGUACUGAAUAUAGCCUUAUGCUGUCUAGCAAGCAUCAUUUCUGGAAAAAGGAUGAAUUCUCAGGGAAUCUUGCAA